CCCCCCCCCCUCCACCUAUCUGAGUUAGUUUAGUUCUCAUUUGCCUUUUCUCGCAAAAAAAUGGAUGUAUGGAAUCUGAGAUCUGGACCUCAUGUUCACUGAUUUUGGACCCAAGUUUUGUUGAGAGAGCCGCUAGUGGUUUCUUUGGUCCGGGACGUCAGGUUACAAAUAGCAGGGAUGUGCGGAAGGUACCUAUCACACUAAUUAUCUUCAAAUUGGAAGUUCUGGUCAGUGCAGGGUAUUAUCACCUCAUGCCAUUGUCCAUUGUACUCUUAUAGUUCAGAUUUCAUUUCUAAUGCCCUUUGUGUGGAGCUACUUUUCUGUUGAUUUUCAUAUUUCCUGAUUAGCACAUAUGUCAUGACACAUCUUUUACUACCGCAGGUCGUUAGAUUUAGUUUGUCUGAAGUAUCAUAGAAUCUUGUCCCUUCUUAAUCUAGAUGGCUGAUGCUCUUUCACACGCUUGUUUCCCUUAAAUCUGAUCUUUGGAUUGAUUUCACCAAAAGCAAUUAAUGGGCAGGUCUGUUCAAUGUUGAAAUCAUCCAGAAAAUUUUACUCUUUAUUUUGCAUUUUGUGGCUUCUUAAUUAGGCAAACUGUCCUUCAGCAACGGGAGCUUGCACUUAAUAUGGGAUACUCCAAAUCCAAAUGAGCACACUAUUAUAGCGAAGACCAUCUCAGGAUUAGAUGACUUCACAAAAGUAAUUGGCCAGUACAGAGGAAUUGUUCCACAAAUUCAUUUGGUUCGCUGGCUAGUGUAUAAUCAAUUUUCUGUAGCCCUCAAAUAAAACAUGCUAACAAUCAUUUUGUAUAGAUUAAUGAGUUUAUUUUGAGGAGCGCCAUGCCAUCUUUCUCGCGUCGGCAAUCAUCUCCCUGUGCCUUCCCAUAGUGAUGCUUAGCCGCUGUCUGUCUAUAGUGUUCCACCAGUGGUGAGAGCAGGAAGGAAGAGGAGGCAGAAAGGGAGAUGGGUAGGGAAAGGACAAAGGAUGCUAUGUAGUCUCUUUGAUGUGAUGCCACAAUUUUCUUUUUUCUUUGGCUAUUAAGUAAAGGUUGUGUGCUCUCUUUGGAUCUCAUGCCACCAUUUUUUGCUACCAAGUAGUGAUGCUUGCAUAGUUUCCUUAUGUCAUAUAUGACCUUUUGCUUUAUUGUAUUAUUUAGUUCAUGUAAGGUGCAGAUUUCCAGAAAUACCAAGGAUUGGGAGAUGCAUAUUUAGCCCAAAAACUGUUAUCUACACACCAUUUAACUUUUUUCCGCUUCUAGGAGAUGAUGUUGUUCUGAACAUAUUGAUCGCAUUAUGUAAUUGUACUCUGCUUUUCUGCGGAUGACAUCACCUCGUUAUAAGUUAAAUUUUGGCAAAAUAUGCUAAUUAUUAAUGUGCUCUGUACUUUGUGUUUCACAAACUGUUAUGCACAUCAACCCUUUUUUGCUCAGUCAAAUGUAAGCUAUGGUAGCAGCUAAAACUAUCUAGCUUUUAGCUCAGUUUACUUUCUGAUUGCAUAAUUAAUAUUUCCAUUACAUGACUGACUAGGUUCUCAACUAAUCUAUGCUUCUAAUAAAAAUGGAAAAAAUACUCACAUUCUGGUUGUUUUUAAUUUACUGGUUUUUAAAAAUUCAUGCAUUUCUUGAUUCCUUGGAACUCAUUGACAUAGUUGUAGCGCCAUAUAAAGAAAUUGUGGGAGCGGGACGGGGGAUCUGCUCCGGGUGGUGCGGGACACACUGCUAUCGCUCGUGCAGCAGAACAGCAGGCCGCAACGACUCGUCUGGAGAGAGCAGCGUCGACCUGAUCUUGUGGAGGGCAGAGUCGAACCAGAACAUGUAUCAAGGGACCAUGACAUAUCUAGCAUCGGUAUCUGAAGAUGGCAAGAUCUGGUCAUGGCAUCUGACUUUUGACAAGUCAGUAUCUUCCAAGAUAAUUUAUCCCGCUAGGCCUCUUCGCGUGGUUCGUGCAGCGCUGGGCCAUGCCAUUCUCCAAUUGGGUGCCCCUCGUGGCCGUCGCUGGGCGACCAUUCAGUAUGGGAGGUUUAAACAGAAGAUGGUUGUAUAAGAUUUGAACAAAAGAUGGAAGCACCUUAUACUGAACACAACAUGAGCGACGGAGCCUGCAUAUCAUGAGGUCGAGGACUACGAUCGACAUGGAUAGGGCUCGUCAUGCGGCGCCGUCCUCCUGACCUCCUUCCCAUCAUAGCCUUAUGGGAAUUGGCUUACGAAGUGAUUCUAUACUUUAAAUUAUAUCCUUUCUUAAUAUAUGUGCUUGUCCAUUCAGGUUUAUCUUCGCUUGGAAUUGGUGGAAGCGAUUUUAUCCCCAAUUUUUUUUCUCUAUAUUCUGAUUUGUAAGCAACAAAAGUGGUGUCAAUAAUAUGUGAUACUUGUGCAUUUCAAGCUUCAGGCAGGACUUCCUUUUCACAACAAUAGAUGAAAAUGCUCCUAUUGUACCUCCGCUUUUGUGUUGCAUGUGUUGCUUUUGAACCAUUGUCAUUUAUGUCGCCAGUCAUGUAAACUAUAAGGACAUAUUAAUAUCUAUGACCCGUAAGGCUGAUUCAUGGUAUGAGUGUGUUGCAUUACCACUGUUCUCUUAUUACCGACCAUGUAAUAACAUUGUGAACUACACCCAACAAUGUGAAAUGGGCGCCUACCACCUGGCACCGUCCAACUUUGUCUCAGGCGGCGUCACCGGGUGACGCUCCAACCACUAGUCCUCACAAGACUGAAACAGGUAGAGACUCCCACGGCUGGCCGACCGGCCGCAUCAUUAGAGAGCGAAGAGGCUCUUGUCGUCGGGGCCAAGGGCCACGGCCGCAUCGAGCCCUAAGGCCGAUGCAUCGCACGGGAGGGAGCCGCGCACCGCAUCCAUCGCCAUUGACAGCCACGCCGGGGACGGAGGCGUGCUCCGAGCGGCGCAGCGGUGGAGAAGGCGAGACCGGCCGGUGACCAAGUCCCGGCGCGGCGGGGGCGGAGGAGGCACAGCCUGGCGCGGGCAGCGGCCGGCCACUGCCUGGCGCGGGCAUAGCACGGUGCGCUGCCGGUCGCGGGGCGCGGCGCAACAGGGACGAAGCCGCUGGAGCCGGCUUGGUCCAGCGGGGACUGAAGCCAGGCGAUGCCACUUGCGAUGGAUGCCUUCGUCCGCCGUCCAGUGUCAAGGCAAGAUUAUGUUCGUGGUCGUUGGCCGAUGCGGAACGGGGCGCUGUGCCGUGAACAGGUUGUGGCCAUGUACGGCGCGAGGCUGCCGCUCGGAAGUGCUUCCGCCGGGCCGAGAGCCACUGCGGUAGCGGGCGUCACCACGGCGAACCAAGGGCUGUAGCCGUCGAACUCGCAGGCGAUGCAGUAGCCAGGAACCGUCGCGUCGAUGGAAUUGCUCCGCUGGGAGCGUGCUGAUAACGUAUUGAAAUAAAGAUCGAGAGAUAAUAAAAUGAAGCAAGUAGUCUUUAUCGAUAGUGUUGGAUCCUCUAUAUACAACAUGUACAGAAGACGACGGUUCCAAGAGCCGACGCUCCAGGGAGAAACCGUUGCGACGGUUCCCACGUCGUGCGAUUACAUGCACGGAGAGAGCGGGGAUCAUCCCCUAAUUAGGGCAUGUAUAAUAAUGCUGUCUUAGAAGUGUCAUGUAGGAUAAAUGAUAAGGUGAAGGAGAGAGAACUCGUAAGAAAAAGUUUGUCUUCU